rnacentral:tRNA from 2 species
UAGAAAGUGGUGUAGUGGAAGCACUAAGAGUUUUGAUCUCUUGAGGUGAGGUUCAAGUCCUCUUUUUCUAA